CCGCCUAAAGAUUUAAUCAUUUAACAGGUUUGAGCUGGGUUUUUUUUUAACUUUAUUUUGUAUUGAUAUUUGAAUGUUUAAGAGGUUGUUGUGUGAUGCAACUUUAAAAGUGUUUUAUGUGUUAUUGUUAAAUGCCAGUUUGCAUUUGUUCAACGUGGAAAGUAAUUUGAAAAAAUUUUUAUUGUUUGCAUUUGUGAAGAGUUUUGUCAUUCUUUAUUAGUAGUUGUGCAAACAACUGUCUCUCUGUCACAAGGGUGGGGUUUCAGCAAAACAUCCGCCUCUGUUAUUCUAUUCUCUCGUUGUCCCUGCUUCUCUUCUCAUCUCCUCAAAUAUAAAGCUUUGCUUUCCUUAGCAACUCCAAUGGCAUCUUACACAGUGGUCAUUGUCCCUCUCAGGAGCAGUCCUAACAGUCUGGAUGCAUUGCAGUUCUUCCUCUGGGUGAAGAAGAUGAAGGACUUAGAGAGGGAAAAGGACUUUUUGUGGAUUGGAUUGCAGGCUUUAGAGCAGGUGCGAGAGAAGUUAUGCUCCAACCUAGAAGACAACAUGGAAGUGCAAGACCAAUUCAAGAAAGGAGAGAUGAGAAAAGUGUUUCCAGACCCCCCCACCCUACUGUUGGCUCAGAUUCACAGAGUGAACAGGACCUUGAGGAAUCUACUGUGUGACUCUAGGAAUCCCACUGAUCCUGCAAUAGAAGGUACUGAAGGACACCAGCCCUCUCCUACCUGUUCAGAAGAAAGUGCUUGUUUUUGAUCAGCUGUUUGUUUUGAAGUUCUGUACUGCAUUUUCUUGUAUUUUGUGCUUGCAGAAUGUAUUCGGAGUGGAUUGAAGUCAUUUUCUGUGUGAAAAAUUUCCUACUUGAUUAGAUUUCCAAAACAUAUGGCAUACAACUCGUACACUGCUUUGAAUGUUUUAUUCAAGAAUUCAAUGCACUCAACUCAACCUUCCAUUUCCAUUGACCUUCCAGGAAUGAAUGUACUGAAGGUAUAUUAACUGCCGUCUGCCAUUUAGUUUCUGCUACUAUUGGAUUAAAAAUGCGAAACACUUAUUUUUGCAAUGAUAACUUGAUACAUACAUUAACUUGUGAUGAAAUGAGAUCAUGUGACAACACUAGCAUUUUUUCUUUUUAUACUUCACAUACACUGGCUGCC